UUUAAUUACAGCCGCAACUAACUGUCGUUCAAAUUCAAAAUGAUGUAUUUGUGCUAGGUGGUACAAUUUAAUUUACUACAGUAGCGCCCAUUCAUUUCAACGGAAAAGUAUUGAACUACCACUGCUAACUGGUCCCUGGCAUUGGUCAUUGGUCUCCCUCCACCCCUCCCUCCCUCCCGAUUGUUUUUUCUGUCCUCCUUCAACGUAAGCUCCUGACAGCACAAAUGGCUGCCAUCAAGAAUGUUGAUAAGUUCUGGAUUUUGUAAAUAUUUUCCGAUCGAAGUUAAUUCUAAGUGCUUCACAACAUGUUUUUUGUGUACAUAGUUAUUUGUGUGGUUUUAAUCGGAAAAUGUUUAUCCAGGAGCCUGUACAGGCUGCCAUAUGGCAUUGUUUGAAUCACUACGAUUAUGCAGAUGCUAUUUUCCUUUUGCAGAGAGGCUCAGGGCUGAAGUUGAUUCGGAUGAAACGCUCUUCCUCCUCGCAACUUGUUACUAUCGUUCUGGGAAGCCAAGUCAAGCUA
rnacentral:lncRNA from 1 species